rnacentral:rRNA from 1 species
UACGGAGGGUGCAAGCGUUAAUCGGAAUUACUGGGCGUAAAGGGCGCGUAGGCGGCCCGCUAAGUCGAACGUGAAAUCCCCGAGCUCAACUCGGGAACUGCGUCCGAUACUGGUGGGCUUGAAUCCGGGAGAGGGAUGCGGAAUUCCAGGUGUAGCGGUGAAAUGCGUAGAUAUCUGGAGGAACACCGGUGGCGAAGGCGGCAUCCUGGACCGGCAUUGACGCUGAGGCGCGAAAGCUAGGGGAGCAAACGGG